rnacentral:rRNA from 1 species
AGUCGAGCGAGAAAGGGGGGGCAACCCCCUGAGUAGAGCGGCGCACGGGUGAGUAACGCGUGGGUAACCUACCCCCAGGCGGGGGAUAACUACUCGAAAGGGUGGCUAAUACCGCAUGAGACCACGGGAUCUUCGGAUCUUGAGGCUAAAGAUCGCACCGGCUUGCCGGUGCUGUCACCAGGGGAUGGGCCCGCGUCCGAUUAGCUAGUUGGCGAGGUAAUGGCUCACCAAGGCUACGAUCGGUAGCUGGUCUGAGAGGAUGAUCAGCCACACUGGAACUGAAACACGGUCCAGACUCCUACGGGAGGCAGCAGUGAGGAAUAUUGCGCAAUGGGGGAAACCCUGACGCAGCAACGCCGCGUGGGUGAAGAAGGCCUUCGGGUCGUAAAGCCCUUUCGGACGGGACGAACGCUCCGCGGUGACAAGCCGCGGAGACUGACGGUACCGUAGGAAGAAGCACCGGCUAACUCCGUGCCAGCAGCCGCGGUAAUACGGAGGGUGCGAGCGUUGUUCGGAAUUACUGGGCGUAAAGCGCGUGUAGGCGGCCUUGCAAGUCAGGCGUGAAAGCCCUCGGCUUAACCGGGGAAGUGCGUCUGAAACUGCUUGGCUCGAGUACGGGAGAGGGAGGCGGAAUUCCCAGUGUAGAGGUGA